rnacentral:rRNA from 1 species
UGGGGAAUAUUGGACAAUGGGGGCAACCCUGAUCCAGCAAUGCCGCGUGUGUGAAGAAGGUCUUCGGAUUGUAAAGCACUUUCGACGGGGACGAUGAUGACGGUACCCGUAGAAGAAGCCCCGGCUAACUUCGUGCCAGCAGCCGCGGUAAUACGAAGGGGGCUAGCGUUGCUCGGAAUGACUGGGCGUAAAGGGCGUGUAGGCGGUUUACACAGUCAGAUGUGAAAUCCCCGGGCUUAACCUGGGAGCUGCAUUUGAUACGUGUAGACUAGAGUGUGAGAGAGGGUUGUGGAAUUCCCAGUGUAGAGGUGAAAUUCGUAGAUAUUGGGAAGAACACGGUGGCGA